GACGAACGCUGGCGGCGUGCCUAAUACAUGCAAGUGGGACGCAAGGAAACACACUGUGCUUGCACACCGUGUUUUCUUGAGUCGCGAACGGGUGAGUAACGCGUAGGUAACCUGCCUAUUAGCGGGGGAUAACUAUUGGAAACGAUAGCUAAUACCGCAUAAUAUUAAUUAUUGCAUGAUAAUUGAUUGAAAGAUGCAAGCGCAUCACUAGUAGAUGGACCUGCGUUGUAUUAGCUAGUUGGUAAGGUAAGAGCUUACCAAGGCGACGAUACAUAGCCGACCUGAGAGGGUGAUCGGCCACACUGGGACUGAGACACGGCCCAGACUCCUACGGGAGGCAGCAGUAGAGAAUCUUCGGCAAUGGACGAAAGUCUGACCGAGCAACGCCGCGUGAGUGAAGAAGGUUUUCGGAUCGUAAAGCUCUGUUGUAAGUCAAGAACGUGUGUGAGAGUGGAAAGUCACACAGUGACG
rnacentral:rRNA from 1 species